UGUGCUGCCGAGCAAAUCCUGGAGCCCGAGUAGAGGGCUGCUGAGUCUCCAUCCCUAACGGGACUCUACGGGAGCCCGGGCUGCUUUUAGAACCAUGGGAUUGCAAAACGGGUCGUAGCCCACUCUUCGCUCCAGCAGAGCCCCUUAUGCAAUCAGGGCCACCAAGCCGGAGAUGUCCGACAAGAUGUCAAGCUUCUUGCAUAUUGGAGACAUUUGUUCUUUAUACGCAGAAGGCUCAACAAAUGGAUUUAUCAGCACUUUGGGACUUGUGGAUGACCGGUGUGUUGUACAGCCAGAAGCAGGUGAUCUUAACAGCCCUCCGAAGAAAUUCAGAG